UACGGGGGGGGCAAGCGUUGUUCGGAAUUACUGGGCGUAAAGGGCUCGUAGGCGGCCAACUAAGUCGGAUGUGAAAUCCCCAGGCUCAACCUGGGAACUGCAUCCGAUACUGGAUGGCUUGAAUUCGGGAGAGGGAUGCAGAAUUCCAGGUGUAGCGGUGAAAUGCGUAGAUAUCUGGAGGAAUACCGGUGGCGAAGGCGGCAUCCUGGACCGAUAUUGACACUGAGGAGCGAAAGCCAGGGGAGCAAACGGG
rnacentral:rRNA from 1 species